AAUAACCUCCAUCUUGGUGUCAAAGGACUUGCAAAGAAAAACGUUUUCCAUUAGUGACACCUCUAAUAGAAAAUCGAUAAAAUUGAAAUCAUUUACCUGUACCGAUGUUUAGAAGCUCCUUACAACUUCUAAACUUUACCAAUGACAGCACUUUCAUGCCCAUAUUUGAAGGAUUAUAUUGUGUGUGAAUUUUUUCAAAUUUUACUACUUCUUGUGAUAUUAUAUCCCUAAUGAAGUGUAACCUAACAUCGAUAUGUUUAGUGCGUUCGUGAAAAACAAGAUUCUUACACAGAUGUAUGGAUAACUGACUAUCAGAGUACACAACCACAUACUCAUUCAAGACACUCAGUUCAUGAAGUAGACCUCUAAGCCAUAGAGCCUCUUUAAUUGCUUCAGUGGUGGCAAUAUAUUCUGACUCUGUAGUGGAUAGUGCAACUAUGUGUUGUAACUGUGAUUUCCAACUAACACACGAAUUUGAUAAGGUGAAUACGUAAGAGGAAGUUGAUUUCCUACCAUCCCUAUCUCCUGCAUAGUCAGCAUUUACAAAACCCUUUAAUUUCACGCCUUCCUUAUUAGCACUAGAUUUUAGACCUGCGUCACUUGUACCCUUCAAAUAUCUUAAAAGCCACUUUAAUGCUUCCCAAUGUUUAGGACCUGGAUUAGACAUGUACCUACUGAAAGUACUAACAGUGAAUCCUAAGUCUGAUCUAGUGCAAACCAUCAAAUACAUUAUGGAACCAAUCACAUUUGAGUAUGGAAUUUUACUCAUGUAUUCCACUUCACGUUCAUUGCAGGGAGCUUGUUCUUUAGAUAGAACAAAAUGGUUUGCAAGAGGCAACGUGACAGGUUUGCAGUCACUCAUAUUAAACCUUUUCAACACCUUUGAUAUGUAUGGAGACUGAUGCAAGAAUACGAUGGAAUUUGACCUAUUUCGUUCUAUUUUCAUGCCUAAAAUCCUUUUAGCCUUUCCUAGGUCUUUCAUGUCAAAUUCUCCACUAAGAUCUACUUUUAUAUUGUUUAUCCACUUAGGAGAUGAUCCAACUAAAAGCAUGUCGUCCACAUAGAGCAACAAAAAUAAAUAAUUGUUAUCAGUCUCGUUGUGUUGAAAGUAUAGGCAGUGAUCGAAUUUACUUCUUUGAAAUCCUAUAGUGAGUACAAAGGAAUCAAACCUCUUGUACCACUGUCUAGGUGAUUGCUUUAGACCGUAUAGGGAUCUUCUCAGAAAACACAUAUAAUCAGGUUUUAACUUGUUUUUAAAACCUUUUGGUUGAUUCAUAAAGAUUUGUUCAUCAAGCUCUCCAUGUAAAAAAGCGGUUUUUUACAUCGAGUUGUUCAAGUUCCCAGUCAAAGAGCGCAACCAAUGCGAGCAUGACCCUAAUAGUAGUGUACUUGACAACUGGUGAGAAAAUCUCAUUAUAAUCAACACCUUCUUUUUGUGUGUAACCCUUCGCUACUAACCUAGCCUUAAAUCUUAAGGGUUCUGUACUACUAGUACCUUUCUUAACCUUAAAGACCCACUUGCAAUCAACGAUUGAUUUAUUCUUAGGUCUCGGUCCAAGUUUGAUUCUUUUCUAGAGAACUCAUCUCUUCUUUCAUAGCCUUAAGCCACUCCUUAGAUUGACCACUAUUCAUAGCCUCUUCAAAAGUUUCCGGCUCCCUAUCAACUAGUUCUUCGUAACUAGCGUAUGCAAAAUCCAAUUCAGAUUCAUACCCGAACCUUCUAGGUUCUCUCGUUUAUCUUCUCUCUCUAUCUCUAACUAAAUUAUAGUUAGCUAAUGGAUUUUCUUCCUCAGGAUGCUCUUCUAUUACUACUUCAUUUUCCUCUUCGGGUUCUUGGACCUGAAUCUCCACCUCACUCAAAGUACUAGGUACUGAUGUGUUAAAUUUUCCUAACUCCACCUUAAACCGAUUUUUCUCUUCACUUGAUUCAGUUUCACUUACAGGUUCGGUUUCGUUCUUUAGACAAGGCAUCUCACUCUCAUUAAAUGUGACAUCCCUACUCACGAUGAUCUUAACUCCUUUUUGGCUUCUAUCCCAUAGCCUAUAGCCCUUCAGGAUAUCCUAGAAAGACACACUUCCUGGCUCUAGGUUCUAACUUUCCCUCACUUUGAUGAGAAAAGGCAGCACAGCCAAACGCUUUAAGCAUUGAGUAGUCACCCAAUUUUUCAGACCAUUUCUCAUGUGGAGUAUCACCAUUUAAUGCAGCCGAUGGAGUCAAAUUUAUUAGAUAACAGGCAAUGACAACGGCUUCACCCCAAAAUGACUUAGGAACCCCAGAACUUAACAUCAUGCAGCACACUUUGUCUAAUAUGGUCCUAUUCAUUCUUUCUGCUACCCCGUUUUGCUGGGGAGUAUAAGGAACCAUUUUGUGCCUUGUUAU
rnacentral:lncRNA from 1 species